rnacentral:misc_RNA from 1 species
AAGUCGUAACAAGGUUUCCGUAGGUGAACCUGCGGAAGGAUCAUUACCGGAGGGAGGUUUUAACCAUGUUGCUAUGACCGUGAUAUAUACGCGUAAAAGGAGAAGAAUUAAAAUUUCAACCUUGAUCAACUUGGCACAAUGGAUCUCUCGGCUCUG